AGCCAAUGAGAAAAAGAAAAAAAGUGCAGAGAUAUAAAAAAGGCAUUUUGCGAUCUUUGUUGGUUUUUCGGUUCUGUUUUUACGUUUUUUAGACUUUUGUUUGGUGAAGUUUUAUUCUUCAAUGGCUGUUGGCGAAAACUCGGAGAGACAUAAGGGCACAAUUGAGGCUUGAAUUUAUCAAGGUUUCCUUCGAUUAGAUGCUAUUGUGGUUUUGGUUGGUGAUACAGUGAAGGCUUUUAAAGAAAUGGUGCAUGUCUGAAUCAAGGCAAUCGUCUCAGCCACAGAAAAUCGUGGACAGCCGCAGCCGAUGUUUUCCUCACCUUGAGCUGUCGAGAGACUGCAGUUACCAGAAAACAGGUGGGGCCGCACCACCUCUUUGGUGCGCGCUGCACCAUUGUGGUGCCCGCAGCACCA